rnacentral:rRNA from 1 species
UACGUAGGGCGCAAGCGUUGUCCGGAAUCAUUGGGCGUAAAGAGCUCGUAGGCGGCCUGUUGCGUCCGCUGUGAAAUCCCGGGGCUUAACCCCGGGCGUGCAGUGGAUACGGGCUGGCUGGAGGCAGGCAGGGGAGAACGGAAUUCCCGGUGUAGCGGUGAAAUGCGCAGAUAUCGGGAGGAACACCGGUGGCGAAGGCGGUUCUCUGGGCCUGUACUGACGCUGAGGAGCGAAAGCGUGGGGAGCAAUCCGG